rnacentral:rRNA from 1 species
UAGGGAAUCUUCCGCAAUGGGCGAAAGCUUGACGGAGUAACGCCGCGUGAGUGAUGAAGGUCUUCGGAUCGUAAAACUCUGUUAUUAGGGAAGAACAAAUGUGUAAGUAACUAUGCACGUCUUGACGGUACCUAAUCAGAAAGCCACGGCUAACUACGUGCCAGCAGCCGCGGUAAUACGUAGGUGGCAAGCGUUAUCCGGAAUUAUUGGGCGUAAAGCGCGCGUAGGCGGUUUUUUAAGUCUGAUGUGAAAGCCCACGGCUCAACCGGGGAGGGUCAUUGGAAACUGGAAAACUUGAGUGCAGAAGAGGAAAGUGGAAUUCCAUGUGUAGCGGUGAAAUGCGCAGAGAUAUGGAGGAACACCAGUGGCGAAGGCGACUUUCUGGUCUGUAACUGACGCUGAUGUGCGAAAGCGUGGGGAUCAAACAGG